AGUCGGGAAUUUUGGGCAAUGGGCGAAAGCCUGACCCAGCAACGCCGCGUGAAGGAUGAAAUCCCUCGGGAUGUAAACUUCGCAAGAACGGGAAGAAUAAGUCGGUGCUAACACCACCGGCGAUGACGGUACCGUUUGUAAGCUCCGGCUAACUCCGUGCCAGCAGCCGCGGUAAUACGGGGGGAGCAAGCGUUGUUCGGAUUUACUGGGCGUAAAGGGCGCGUAGGCGGCCACCGCAAGUCAAUUGUGAAAUCUCCGGGCUUAACUCGGAAAGGUCAACUGAUACUGCGGGGCUAGAGUGCAGAAGGGGCAACUGGAAUUCUCGGUGUAGCGGUGAAAUGCGUAGAUAUCGAGAGGAACACCUGCGGCGAAGGCGGGUUGCUGGGCUGACACUGACGCUGAGGCGCGAAAGCUAGGGGAGCGAA
rnacentral:rRNA from 1 species